rnacentral:rRNA from 1 species
UACGUAGGUGGCAAGCGUUGUCCGGAUUUACUGGGCGUAAAGAGCGCGCAGGCGGUCGUUCAAGUCGCGUGUGAAAGCCCCCGGCUCAACUGGGGAGGGUCACGCGAUACUGAUCGACUCGAAGGCAGGAGAGGGUAGUGGAAUUCCCGGUGUAGUGGUGAAAUGCGUAGAUAUCGGGAAGAACACCAGUGGCGAAGGCGACUACCUGGCCUGUUUCUUGACGCUGAGGCGCGAAAGCUAGGGGAGCAAACGGG